AUUAGGAAUAAAUAAAAUGUAAUUACAAGCAACUAUACAUAGAUAUGAUGUUUUAACAUUAUAUAAAUACAAACAAAAAUAUUGUAGUUAUGUGGAAAUAAUCAAUCAAGGUCUGCAGACAUGUUCUUUUGUUCCAUUCAAUAGAAUAAAGGUGCUCAAGAGGCUGAGGCAGGAGGAGCACAAGCUCAAAGCCAGCCUCAGCAAAAGUGAGGUACUAAGCAACUCAGUGAGACUCUAUCUCUAAAUUAAAAAAAAAAACAGGGCUGGAGAUGUGGCUCAGUGGUCGAGUGCUGCUGAGUUCAAUCUCCUGUACACCCCCCACUGCCAACAAAAAGUAUAAGGGUUGUAUGCAGUAGUAGCUAUGUUUAAUGAUGCUUAACCUGAGAGAUUUAUGCUCAUUCUCUAAAGCAUAUGGGAAAGUCAAACUUCAGCUUCACAGUGUAACCUAUCUGCUAGUGUCUACAAUUUAGGAUGAUACUCUGAUAAUUACACAUAAUGAUGUAUUCAAUCAACCACUGUUAACCACUGCAUUCAAUAAAUAUUCAUUCUGUUUCUAUUACAUGUAAUACUAAGAAUUAUUAAAAAAAAUACCUGAAGCUUGUCAUUACUACAUUACUCAGGGAGACUAAGUAAUAUUACAGAUGACUAUAAUAACUCUAGUAGUCAUGUAGCUGUAAAGUAAUGUGUCCUAAGCAAGCUGCAGAUUACCUUCUAUGAGGUCAGAGGAGAGAUUUUUUAUUUUCAUUUUGCUUAUUUUAUAGUGUCCUUUGAAUGAGGAAAAGCACUUUAAGAAAGACACUGAAAAGAUUCAUUAAAAAAGUGACUUUUGUUGCCAUAUUAUUCUACCUACUCUAAGUUCAGAGCUAAUGAAGAGAUGGAAAGACCCACUUAAAAGCAAUGUAGGGUUACUUAUUACCUAGAGAUGGACAGACAUUAUAUCCUCAUUUACAAUGUUAAGCAAUGCUGGGAUUCACUUUGUGUUAACCUUAUUGUUUUCCCAUAGACAAACAAAGCUGACAAUUUGUCCUUGAGGUUUAGUAUUAAAGUACACACCUAUAAUCCCAGCUACUGGAGAGGCUGAGGCAGGAGAACUGUAUGUUCAAGGCCUGUCUGGCAACUUAGCAAGACCUUGUCUCAAAAUGAAAAUAAAAGAAACAGGGCUGGGAAUGUAGCUGGGUGGAAGAGCAAUUGCCUAGCAUGUGCAAGUCCCUAGGUUUGAUCCCCAAUACUACAAAAAAAAUUUAAAAAUGUAAAUAAUAAUAAUAAAUAAAUGGUCCUUGAAAAUGGACAUUUUAAUUAAUGAGACCUCAACCCUACACAAAAAUGCAUCAGUAUAUCUCAGUGUAUUGGGAAAAGAAUAAAGCAUGGGUCCUUUAGUUUUUGGAGAAUACAAGUAUAUUAAUUACUUUAAUGUUCUCCAGAUAAAUGGAUGUGUGUGUAUAAAAGGAGAUUUAUUAUAAGCAAUGGCCUCACACAAUUUCAGAAGCUGAGAAAUCCCAAUUAUCUGCUGUCGACAAACUGGAGUCCCAGGCAAGCCACUGGUAUACCCUUAGCCAAAAUCCAAAGGUCUGAGAACCAGGUGUGUGAUGGUGUAGUUUCAGUUCUAAAGUUGGUAGGCUCAAGAAACACAGGAGAGCUGAGUGUUUCAGUACAAGUCCUAAGGCAGGGGAAGAUCGACAUCCCCAUCCAAGGCAGCCAGGCAAGAGGAGUCUCUUCUUGGUCUAUUCAGGACUUUAGCUGGUUGGGCAAGACAAGGUCCACCACCUUAGGGAGAACAAUCUGCUUUCCUCAGUCUCCAAAUUCAAAGGUUAACCUCAGCCAAAAACACCUCACGGACACACUCAACAUAAGGCCUGGUCCAGUACUGGACACCCUGUGGCCCAGUCAUGUGGACCCACAAAAGUAACCACCAUAGCAUCCCCUAGUGACCAGUACACCUUGUGAAAGAUCUUAUUAUAACUAUCUUCUAUGUUUUCCUUAGCUGUGUUGCAGAACCUCAGCUGCAUUUUGGUCAUUUUGGUUUUGUAGAAAAGCAAAAGCAAGAACUGAUGUGACAAAUUCCAUCAAACCUGAGCACCAGCCCUUAGAAAGGAGGACACUGUGUCUUAUCUGAGGAUCUUCAUUGUGCUCCAUGCUUUAUUUCUGUCUCUAGGAGGUCACACAAAGUGAAGCAUGAAUCAUUAUGCAGGGCUUGUCUAUCUGAGCUUUCUAACUUUGAAUGACAAAAUCUUAACAUUGUUGUUUAGGUAGGACUCACUCAAGCUAGAAAUAUAUCUAUAGAAAAGUAAUAUCUAAAGGGUUUUUUUUUUUAACUUAGGAUUUUAUAAUGCCGAAAAAAAUAAAUUGAGAAUGAAAGAAUUCACUUAUGGAACAAAUGACAUAUCAAGAUUUAAGUGGUGAGGUUUGACAUAAAUUUCGACUCAAGAAAUUGUAUAGAUCCUGGGUCUGGCUAAUUGGUUUCUUGUCUAGUUCAGAAAUAUGGUGAGUCUCUAAGAAGCACUCUGCACUAUUCUUAUACCACCCUAACCUACACUGAAAGGUCAUAAAAACACUUUAGGAACCGAAAUAUUUUGAUAGUAUUGCCCAGAGGUGUAUUCCUCCAACAAACUCCACAGUGUGCUUUGUUCAAUGCAUAAGGAACGAUUCUCCCUGUCUCCUUGUAUCUGUCUGCAAAGUUUGGUUUGAACUGUUGAGGGAAAGCGGUAUUCUUAUGUCUUGGUGUGAAGAAUACAUUCUUCAUUGGGGCCUACAUUGAAAAUAGGUUAUAUUUCAUGAAAUAUGAUUAUUUUGCAUGAUUUAUAACUAUUCAAAUUGAAAAAGAAGGACACACCCUCUUUCUUCUUUCAUGAAAGAAAAAAAGACAAGACCUUGUAACUUGUUUUCACUGAAGUACAGGAGCUUAGGUAAUAUUGGCUUGUGGUUGACAGCACAGACUCUAGAGCCUGUGUUAGAAUCCUGGCUCUGCUAUGUACUUGCUGUGUGACUUUUGACAAAUUACUUAAUCUUUCUGGGCUUCAGUUUCCACUUUGUAAAAUGCAAAUAAUAAGUAAUAAUUGGAUUAAUAUUUGUCAAACAAUUAAAUUAAGAUCUGCUAUAGUGUCUGUAAGGGUUUGAAAAUAAAAUCAUGUUUUAAUAUUUUCAUGUCCAUAUUUAUGUUGAUGAGGAGAGUAAAAACAUUCUAAAACUUUCAGAUUAUAAGUAUAAAUUUCAUUGAUCUCGUGAAUAAUUAUGCCAUAAACAAUAAAAUGAACUAACUUAAAAUCUGUUAUCUCUCUGAGUCACAGUAUCUCCCAUCUUUAAAACACAAGAUUUAAAAGGUUUGCUUAAGAAUACAAUGAAUUAGAACAUAUGCAAGUAAUUAGCAAAACGGCUCAUUCAUUAUACAUUAUAUAUAAUUUUCUGGGAAUUAAUAAGUAUUCAAAUUGAAAAAGAAAGACACAUCCUCUAUCCUUAACAUAGAUUUCCAGCUUCCUAAAUCCUAAAUCUAAAGUAAAUAAAUCUCCAUUCACAGUGAUUACCAGGUUAAUGGGUGUCAUUUCCUCAGGUUGGACCCAUUUAUGGCCCAAAGCAAAGUGAAGGAAAUUUGAGAUAAGACUUUUUGUUGUUAUUUUUUUUUUACAUUGCCAUAGAGUGUAACUAAUUCACAAAGGUAAAAUCUAAUGAGAGUAAGAAUUAAUUUUCACGUAUUGAAGGCAGAAAAAUUCCUGUUUGGUAAUUUGCCUGUUAAGUGGAUAAGAAGUACCAAUUACAGGUGAACAUACAUACUAGCUAUGACAAAAUAAGGAACCCUGACAAGAAUCUAAAACCUUAAAGCUAGAACAGAAUUCAGGGGUCAUGUCGGAACAUUCUCCUCCCUAAACAGAAUUCCACCAACUGUCCUCCUAGCAUUAACUGCCUGUACCGCUUGUGUUCCAGUUACUUUCAUAACAGCCCAUUUAUUUCCCCCAUGAUAAUGAAAGCCCAGAGUAGACACCAGGAACUGUAUGAAUCCUGGGGAUUAAUCCUUAGAAGGGGCCUACUUACAUCUUUCGCUUGUAUUUGUUCUGAUUUCUUAUUUCUAUUUUAUUCCUCAAGGGCAUAUAUCAUUGUUUCAGCUUCCUAAAUCCUUUUUGUUAAGAGAGGCUUAUAUGUGAGGUUUGAUAAACAAUAACAGAAUCCUGUUUGGAUCUUCGGCUUACUUUAUGCUUCAUCUUUAUCCCUGUUUCUCAUUGAUCAACUUGGGGGUAUGAGUCUCACCUCCCCUACAGAAAUGCAAGCUUCGUACAUGAAAUAGCUGCCUCUUGCACUCUACUGUAUUUCCUUCAAUAGCUAGUGUUGGGCCCAAAGUGGGUCUCUAUUUUGUAUGUGUUAAUUUUGAGUGAAUAUAAAAUUAAUAAAAUAAUAAUUUUAAAUAUGCAAUAGGGUUAAUAUUAAGAUGGAAAAGUUCAUUUCAUGCAUUCAUUUCAUCUCUAGCCACCUCUGCUAUCAAAAACUUUUGUUUAUCCAUUCAGUGAACUCCAACAGACCCAACUUCUGGACAUAGCUCUAGCAUUUGUGAAACAUCAGUGAGCAAAAAUAAAGAUCCUUGACCUUGAGGAUCUUAUAUUCUAGUAAGGAAGACAAACUACAAUCAAUAAAAAUGAUGGUGUAAAUUAUACAGUUGGCUUACAGGUGGCAAGUACUCUAAGAAAAAGAAACUACAAAUGUGAAAACAGUGUGGGAGGGGGGCAACCCAGGUGUGGAGAAGCUGGGGUCAGUUUGCAGGACUGAAAAAGUGGUCAAUGCAGAACACCUUGUAAGGGUUUGAGUAAACAUGAGAAGGAAGUGAGUCACCCAACAUGCAGAAGAAGAGCCUCCAUGCUGAGUUGGAACCGGAGGAGGCCUGGCAUGGAUAAGGGACAGCACCCAGUAAGUGGGCAGAGUCAAGGCAAAGGGUCAUCAGGCAGAUUUCUGCACAAAUGCAAGGACUUCAGGCUUUUCUGUGAAUGGAAUGGGGAAUGACUGGGGGUUUGGAGCAAAGGGGUUACAUGAUCUUACUCCUGUUUGUAAGUAACUGUGAGCACUGAAUUGAGUCUUCCAGCUGAAGCGAGAGAUAAUGGUAGCGUAGAUGGGUGAUUUCAGGGUAGGUGGCCUAAAAUCUCCAAAUUCUAAUUAUAUUUUGUGGAUGGAGGCAAUAGAUAUUCCUGGGGGUUGCAUGUGAGAGGCUACAAAGAGGUGAGACUAAAUAGGUCGUUGGCCUGAGCAGUAAGAAGGUAUCUGUGGUCCCCAAUAGAAAGGGAAAGCUGUUGGUGAAGAAGGUCAAGUGCAGGCACUGCGUUUAAGAUGUCUAUUAUUAGUUAAGGCGUUCUCUGAUUUAUAAGCCUGAAGUUUAGGAAAGAUAUCUGGGUAGGAAGUAUCAACUGGAUGGUCAUUGGCAUUGGUGUUGUACUUAUCUCUUGGAAUUGAAUGAAAUCAAUUCAAUGGAAUGAGUGGAGUUAUAGAUAAGGACAAGAACUAAGAUCUGGGGGGCAUUUCAAGAUUAUAAUUUAGAGAGAAGAGGAGGAAGCAAUCAAGAAGACCAAGAAGAGUCAGCCAUAGAAAGAAGUGGAGUGUGCUCUCAGAAACCAUGCAAAGAACAUGUUUUAAAGAGGAAGGCAUGGUUUAUUGUGUCAAAUGUUGAUUUUGUUUGUUUGUUUGUUUGGUGUGGUGCUGGGGAUUAAACCUAGGGUCUUGUGCAUGCAAGGCAAGUACUUUAACAACUGAGUUAUAUCCCCAGCCCCUGAAAAGUUCUUUUUAAAAAUGGGAUAUGAAUCCAUCAAGUUGCUAUUACUGACCAGUUCUAAUUAUUUAUAACAAAUGUAAAACAAUAAUUGCUCAAUCCAAUGGAGUUGAGUCCCUUGAGCACCCACACACAACAUGUCUAUACAGCCAAAAGAAGUAUGGACAACAUGAGAGAAAUAAAAAUAAAAAACAGAUAUUUAUUUUCCUUCUUGAGUUAGAAUAUUUUCUUCUCUCCUGCCUUACACCAUUAUUUCUCAGUGAUGUCUGUAUAUCUCAUAUGCCUUCCUCUAAUUUUCAAGUGCCAAUUAUCUUGAUUGAGUUACUUAGCCAGGCCUGCAUGUUAUGUGGGUUUAUAUGUUAAUGUUGUGUUAACAUGAAAUCGUUCUAGGAAUUGCAAUUGUGUUUUCUCUUUGUUGCUGUUGUUACCAGGGAUGGAGCCCAGGAGUACUUAACCACUGAGCCACAUACCCAGCCCCCUUUUCUAUUUUUAAGUUUUGAGACAAGGUCUUGCUAAGUUGCUUAGGGCCUCAUUAAGUUGCUGAGACUGGUUUUCAACUUGUCAUCCUCCUAUCUCAGCCUCCUGAGCCACUGGGAUUACAGACCUGCCUCACCUCCUCCAGCAACAAUUUAUGUUUUGUAAAACCUCUUGUGUAUGUACUGGGCAUAUGCUGAUGAAACAAUUAAGAUCAAUACUGUGCCAGAAAACCCGACCAGAGGACUCUCAUAGAGUUUUUCUUAGAGGGAAUGCCACUAACCUUAUAGUGCAGUCCCAGCAACAAAUCCAAUGGUGAGACUUCAGCCCAGGUUGAAGGAAAACAGGAAAUGGAGGCUAUGCUUAAAAAUCAGCCAUGAAGGUUUGGGGGCAUUGAAGUGAGCAAGGGGGAAGACUGCACACAUUUUAAUUCAUACUGUGCAAAUGGCCAAUGAUUUUACCAAAGAUUUGGAAGGAAUGAUCUCUGUGUGCUUGUUCACAUCCCAGAGAGGUAAUGAGCAGUCAGGAGAUCCAGGUGUUAGUUAUGACUUGAUCAUUGUUGCUGCAAGAUCUUGUCAAAGUGUUUUAAACCCCUCCAAGCCUCAGUCUCAUCAUAUGCAAAAUAAAAAGCUUGGACAAGUCAGGGUUGGCAAAUGUGUGUCCAGAUGCUGCCACUCAACUCCUGGUGAGGGCAGCCUCUGCAAUGUCACAUUGUUCUCAACUAUGGUUUCACAGUAUUUCUGCACACAGCUUUCCAUACAGUCCCUGCCAAUACAUUAAGGUUGGCACUCAAAAUGAACAUGCUGUGCCAUUCUGUGCCCAAAAUCACAUGCCUCAAACAACAGUGUACCAUGACUCUGAGAAUGAUUCUUUGGCUUGAUAAGAUACUCAGAUCAAAAUGGUGUUCGCUAAUAAAUCAACUUCUAGCAUCUAGAACAAGAUCUAGCACAUAGAAGUUUCUCAACCAAUGUUAAUAAAAUAAAUAAUAGCUAAACUUGAGAGCUUGCUUAAGCAUUUUGCAUAUAUUACCUUUUUAUUUUUAUAAUUCUUUUUUAAGGCAUAUACCUCUUUGUCUUCAUUUUAUUGAUGAGAAAAAAAACCUGUAGAUGCUACGAAUAUAUAUAUAUAUAUGUAUAUAUGUAUAUAUAAUGUAAACAUACAUUUAUGUAUAUACAUAUGUACAUAUGCAGCUACAUAUGUAAGUUUAAAUGUAUGUAUCUGAAUAAGUGAUCUGCAUAUUUGGGGCUCAAAUCUUAUUCUCUGAGUGUAUGGUCAUAUUCUUGACCAGAUCUAACUUCAAAUCCUUACAGCAAAGAACUUAAGCCCCAAACUACCAAGUCCCAUUAGCCAAAAAAAGAAAAGAAAGAAAGAAGAAAAAGAAAAAAGAAAGGAAGAAAGAAUGAAUGAAAUAUUCAAGAUUACUUGGCUGCAAACAACAGAAAUUUGACUUAAGUUAAAUAAAGAUUUUUUAAAUUAAAAGGCAACUAGAAGGCUCACAAAAGAAGUAUAGAAGCCAGAUAAUUUCAAGGAUUUAGUAUUCCCAUAGAUAGUUCUGUCAGAGUUUUGCCUUGGGAAUAACUCAGAAUCUCUAUACUCAAAUUCUUAGGAGAGGAAUUUAGUCAUAUGGCAACCUGAGGUCAGAAUAAGAAGGGGCAUCUCUUAUGAUGAUAUAAAAAGAGGAAAAGGUGCUUCCCCACAGGAAAAGUUAGGUUCUUCAAAGAGGGAAAAAAAUAAAAGGUUGUAAAAGGCAACAUCCACAUCUUCUGAUUCCACUUGAAAACUCUUGAGAUUCCAUUUCUGCCCCCAAUAGACAGUGAUUUUUUUAAACAGAUGCAAAUGGAGCCUGCUUUAGUUUGAGUCAUCAGAGAAGCAGAGUUCAAGAUGCAAUUAAAUGUACAAGGAUUUUAUUGGAAAAAAUGUGAGAGAAAAUGGGAAGGACACCAAGUGAGGCUGCAGAGCUAUCAGACAGGGAUGCAAGUCUGACAUGGAGAGGAGGGAAGGAGGCUGGGUGGAAGCUUUUGAGGUUGUCAUGCUCUAAAGAAGGUUCAGGAAGGUCUCCAGGGAAUCCUCCAACCCAAGUCCUAUCUUCUAGGAAGUGUUCUUGCCAGGGCCAUUCAUUGACUCGGAGCUGCUGUGGGGAAGCAUGGCCCCAGCACAAACACAGGGAAGGAUUUGUAGAGAGCACAUGAAGACACUUGGUCACUUACACCUGUAGUUGGAGUUUUGUGAGGCACAUUCUCAAGGUAACCACAGGUGUUCCCAGGACAUCAAUAAAUUUUCCUGUUCUCAAUGAUUUAUCAUGUAAUUGGUUUAUAGCAAGGACCAAACAUAUAUCACUGGGAGACACAGAUGGGGUAAAUUUGGAUACAUGGCUAUUUUAACCUAUUUGGCUUUGAGGGAUUCUACCUCAGGUGCUUGCUCCAAGUCUGACCUGAACUUUGCAAACUGGAUUUAAAUUGUGAUUCAAUAUAUCCCUAAUUCAGUAAUCACCACACAGUCACCAAGUCAGAUUCUAAUUGCAAACCUAUGUCAUCUAAGAGUUUCUCCAAUUCCUAACUAGAGCAAAGAAACUUCUGAAAACAUGGAAAUGUCUGAAAAGUCUAGCUCACAUAUUUUUAGACUUAGAAUUUUGAGAAAAUAAGACAAACUGACUUGGUUCAACUUUCAAGGGGCACAAUAAUAUAUUAUUAUAAUAUCAUAAAGUAGUAUAUAUUAACAUAUAUAUAAUUAUAAUUAAUAUAUAUACUUUCAUAUUAGGUAACAUGUACAUAUUAGUAUCACUUACUCUUCUAGGCAGUUUAAAUUUAUUUUUACUCAUUUAAUCUUUGAAGCAAGAACAUGAUGUAAAAGUAGGACAAUCCUCAUUUAUUUUUGUGGAAAACCAGAUUCCAAAAGGUCAAGUAACUUGUCCAGGUUUCCAUAGGAAGUAAGUUCUGCAAUCAGAUUUGAACCUAUGGAAUCUGUCUUCUGAAUCCUGUUCUUAACUGCUUCUCCUGUAUCUUCCCUGACAGUGAUAUUUGGGUAGGAAUGUUUUAACAAAAUGCAUGGAGGUCAUCAGAACACAGCAUGAAUCCCUCUGAGUCACAGAAAGAAUGACUUUAGGCUCAAAAUUUGUGAAUUUACCAAGAACCACAAUGUCAACAAUAUAAUCAUGCUGAAGAUAGGAUUUCUCAAAUUGUGGAUCACUAAUAGAAGUUAGGAUCAAUACUUUUAAAAACAAAAUAAGAAUUACAGGUAACAGAGAUAAAUUGCAUGUAUGUGUGUGUACAUGGGCAUGUGAGUAUUGGAUUCAAAAAUGAUGUUAUUUUUAAAUUUUUAUGGGUUCUUUUUAGUUAUACAUAACAUUAGGACUUAUUUUGACAUAAUUAUAAAAGCAUGGAACACAAUUUGUUCUAAUUCGGUCCCCAAUAUUUUCCCUUUUUCUUACAUCCUGUUCCCUUCCCUCUACUCUACUGAUCUUUCAGAAAUGAUUUACAAACUGAGGGUUACAGAUAAAUGAAAAAAUAUUUUCUAUUUUUUUAAUUUCCAUUUCAGGAGCCACUGAAUCCUUCCAAUAAGAAGGCGAGCUCUUCUGCUUGCCUGUGGUCAUUAGCAAUAACCAUGGCUCUGGACAACCAGCAUGCUUUAGGUGGGAAAGCUUGGGCUUCAUCUGAAACAGACAGGGUAUACUGUCUGGGGCUGCCAUAGCCUGCCUAUGAGAAGGUAAUAGAAUAGGCUAUGGAAUCUUAGAAAUUAACCCUUGGGAAAUUCCAGGAGGAUUAAGACCAUUGGUUAUUUAAUCAGCCAUCUUGUCUUCUACCAAGAUAACUGAAAGGGUAGUGCUCACUAAAGCACUUGACACUGGAAAAAAAGCAGCUAAAAGUACCAAGGUUUCAUAGAGUUCCCACUCUUUUAUUUGACAUUCCUUUUUCUGCCUGCUUAGUGCACCAGCCUGACAUUUUUCUUUGUUCUUAUGGGCAUAUAUCUAGCUUCCUCCCACAGAUCUCUUACAUGGCAAGAACGGUACAGACUCUAAACAUUAUUCUUCCCCCACAGAUGUCAAAAAUGCAUGAGCAUGCAGUGCGUGCUGGGCUGUGGGUGGCAAAGAAGGAAAGAGCCAAGGAAGGCAAUCUUAGAAAUAUCAAUUUCUUUGAUAUAAUUAUACAAUGGCUUCAAUACUCCUAAGGGGCCAUAAUCAUAAAUGAUGCCUCUUAGCCCUCAGCCAUAUGCUACUGCAUGCCUGCUACUAUCAGAGCUCUGUGGAGAGUGUGGGAGAAUUGUGGCCUUUGCAUUCCAGGAACUUGCAUCUUAGUGGAAGACAAGGCAAACAGGUAUAAUAAAAAGAGAGUGCUUCAUACCACAAAUGACAAGGAAUUUUCAAAAAAGUUUCUAAAUGCAAAUUACAUUUUAUUCUUUUUUUUAGCAUUUUUAUUUAUUUUUUUAUUUUUUAUUCUAAUUUGAUAUAUAUGACAGCAGAAUGCAUUACAAUUCAUAUUAUACAUAUAGAGCAAAAUUUUUCAUAUCUCUGGUUAUAUAUAAAGUACAUUCUUAACACAAAAAAAAUAAAUGCCAUAAGCUCAUAAAACAUUUAAUUAUUUACAUUUCCUUUAAACUUACUGAGACAUAGAUUUUUGAAUAAUACUUUUUAAAUAAUUUAUGGUUAGUCCUUCUGAUUGAAGAUGUCAAAUGUUAAGCAAAUGAAGAAUAACGAUAAUAAGAUCUUAAUAACAUUUUCCAUGGGGACGAAAAAAGAGCAUCAAUAGCAGUGGGAAUAGGUUUCUUUGAUUUUACCCCAUCUUUCUAACCUAAGCUUCAUUUACACAUUUUCUUCAGCUUUUGAGAAAUACUAUAAAGCCUGAAGAACUAUGCAUUUGUGUCCAUUUUAAGCAUAUGUGAUGGAGAAAAAUCUCUGUCUUCAAAAAUGAAAAUAUAUGAAAUUUGUAUAGUGUUCUUGCAUAGAUUUCCAUCUCACAAGAAUCUCAUAUAGUAAGCUAUACAAUCUCUAGCUUACAGUGAGAAACUUACUCAAGUUUUCUUGGUCAGUUCUUAAAGAUAUGAUACCUAUAUUAUAUGAUUUUAAGUUAAAUCAUCUUUCCAGCAAGAAUAGAUAAAUGGUUUAGUGUUACAAUGUAUGCAUGCUAUUAUUCAGCAAUAAGUUGUUUUUCAGAAUUUCAAAAAUACACUGUUUGAAUCUUCAAAGAAAUGCAACAUGAAGACUUACUAUUAUAUUCUAACUCUGGAUUUGUAAUUUUUCUACAAUUUAUAUUCAUGAAACAGAUACAUCACCUUCUAAAACCACUACAGUAUCCUCAUCAUUAAUAACAACUCCAAGAUACAUCUCCCCACAAGGUAUGAUUUCUGUGUGUCUGAGUGGAAUAUUGGCCUGCUUGACCCUUCCUCACCAACAAAAUCCUACCAAUCUUGGUUCUCAAAGCAGAGUUCUUUCAAAAUGAGAAAUUUUUUUUGCACUCGAAGCAUGACAUCUAUCAAUCAUAGCUGUUUUCCUUAAAUGUGGGUGGAGGGAGGAUUAUGAAGAUUGGCACACAUUAACCAAAGGUGAAUUGUCUUUUUUUCUUUUUUUUUCUUAAAAAUAAUAGGCACUGAGGAUGAAAAAUAUGCAAACCCUUCACCAACCAGUCCUUCUUAUUCCAGUGAGUAACAUACACAUCUCCAUUCAGGGCAAUUGAUAUGCAGAAUGUUCAAAUAUGAGCAAUAAAGGGAAGGGAUUAGAUUAUGACUUUUUUUCCCCCUCAACUUUAUUGAACUUUAGCUGCCUGCUUUGAGAAUUUCCCACAAAUCUGAUCUUAGUUAGCCGACUUUGGAAAUAUUUUUCUUAUCUUAGUGCUAAGGAAUUAUCAAGGGCCAAAGAUGACUAUGGAACUAGUUUCAGACAAGCCAAAAUGCACAGGAAGAGAUCCCAGUACAAAGUUAUUGUGGUCAAACCAUCACGUUGUGUACCUUGGAUAUAUUCCAUAUUCAUUUCCAAUUAAAUAUUUUAAAUAAAUAAAGUAAGUUACCUUAAUAGAACUUUAUGUUUAAAAAAGACCUUUCAGACACAUUC
rnacentral:lncRNA from 1 species